ACCAAAUGCAUCACUGAAACUCGACCAUAGUAAAGGAUAUGUGGAAACAGUUAUUGGGUGAAGUUGGAAUAAUUGUACAACAAACAAAUGAGUUAAUGAAUUGGUCGCACAACUUUGGAUAGUCUCCAUUCCACCAAGGAUCAAAAGCUUGCAGACAUGUUAACGACUCAUGUUUUCCAAAUCCCAGCCUGUGCCUCCGUUUCUCAUCCUCCCAACAGAUGGCCUGUGUUUCCCUCUUUUAUUUGUAAUCUUCUUCCAAAUUACAAAAGUACACCACAGAGGCGAUUUA